CAGCAGCCGCGGUAAUACAGAGGGUGCAAGCGUUAAUCGGAAUUACUGGGCGUAAAGCGUGCGUAGGCGGUUCGUUAAGUCUGUUGUGAAAGCCCCGGGCUCAACCUGGGAAUGGCAAUGGAUACUGGCGAGCUAGAGUGUGUCAGAGGAUGGUGGAAUUCCCGGUGUAGCGGUGAAAUGCGUAGAGAUCGGGAGGAACAUCAGUGGCGAAGGCGGCCAUCUGGGACAACACUGACGCUGAGGCACGAAAGCGUGGGGAGCAAACAGGAUUAGAUACCCCGGUAGUCCCUGUCUCUUAUAC
rnacentral:rRNA from 1 species